GACAGAGGGGGCAAGCGUUGCUCGGAAUUACUGGGCGUAAAGGGCGCGUAGGCGGGAUGGCAAGUCGGUCGUGAAAUCCCUCGGCUCAACCGAGGAACGUCGAUCGAUACUGCUGUUCUUGAGGAUUGCAGAGGAGACUGGAAUUCCAGGUGUAGCGGUGAAAUGUGUAGAGAUCGGGAGGAACACCGGUGGCGAAGGCGGGUCUCUGGGCAAUUCCUGACGCUGAGGCGCGAAAGCGUGGGGAGCAAACGGG
rnacentral:rRNA from 1 species